rnacentral:misc_RNA from 1 species
GGUUCUUUGAGGGACUCCAUUUCUCAGAUUAAAGUUAUGGGAUUGAAUGAUCCCAUAAUUAAACCUGAAGUUGCUAUGAAGGUUCUUUCUGUAUUGACACAUAAUAUCUCAAGCACUAAAUAUCAUCUUGGAAAGAAUCCUAGGGAGAGUGUUUUGGAUGGUUUCCCAAACAAAAUAAAGGAGGAUUUGCUGCAUCAUUGGAUGUCUAUUGAGGAGUUGCUGAGACAUUACUGGUCAUCAUAUCCAGCC